rnacentral:rRNA from 1 species
AUUGAACGCUGGCGGCAGGCCUAACACAUGCAAGUCGAGCGGAUGGAGGGAGCUUGCUCCUGGAUUCAGCGGCGGACGGGUGAGUAAUGCCUAGGAAUCUGCCUGGUAGUGGGGGAUAACGUCCGGAAACGGGCGCUAAUACCGCAUACGUCCUGAGGGAGAAAGUGGGGGAUCUUCGGACCUCACGCUAUCAGAUGAGCCUAGGUCGGAUUAGCUAGUUGGUGGGGUAAAGGCCUACCAAGGCGACGAUCCGUAACUGGUCUGAGAGGAUGAUCAGUCACACUGGAACUGAGACACGGUCCAGACUCCUACGGGAGGCAGCAGUGGGGAAUAUUGGACAAUGGGCGAAAGCCUGAUCCAGCCAUGCCGCGUGUGUGAAGAAGGUCUUCGGAUUGUAAAGCACUUUAAGUUGGGAGGAAGGGCAGUAAGUUAAUACCUUGCUGUUUUGACGUUACCAACAGAAUAAGCACCGGCUAACUUCGCG